rnacentral:tRNA from 1 species
AGGAUUAUAGUUAAUUAUAACACUUACUUUGCAAGUAAAAAUUACAAAUGUUAAUCUUA